rnacentral:lncRNA from 1 species
ACAAGUAAUUAUUCCUUUAACUCCACAUUAUCUCACUCUUUUUCUUUUUUUUCUUUUCCCCAUUUUGAUUCUUGUGAAUUUUCGUUCGUUUUCUUAUUUGUUGUAUUUCAUUUGAGAAUGAGAAGGGGAGGAGGCGAGAUUUCUUACAUGUUCUUAAUCCGAAUAUAGAGGGUUUUUUUUCGGCGAACUAUCAUUUUUUCGAUCGACCGGAAGAAUUAAUCUCUCGAACGAACGAAAAAGAAAACUAACACAAAUGUAAAUAGAGAGGAAGACG